GCGCAGCUGCGACCUGGGUGAGUGGCUUUACUGCGAACCCACGCGCCCUUUCCCCAGAGGCUCCCAGACCCGCCCAGCGGGAGGAGGAGACGGACCCCAAUACUUACAGACAUUCACCGAGCCGACGCCUUCACACAGCCUGCGGGGAGAGAAGUGGAGAGGGCCAAGGGCCUGACUGUCCACAAAAAAAAAAGGAGCUUCGAGUGAGACCAACUGACCAACUAAGGGAAAGAAACCAAGGGCAAAGAAUGAGCUCAUAUUCUGGGAGCAUUGUCCUUCUGGGAGCAGGAGCUGUAUAGCUGCCCUCCAGCCAUAGGAAGGCUGAGUGACCAAUGGGUCUUCUCCACUCCCCCCACCUCUGAAGCAAGAAAAAAAGCAAAAAUCCUGAAAGCAAGGCAUAACUGCCCCAAGGGAUAAGUCCUUGGUCUCUGCCUAACUCAUUCCCACCUGCCACAAUGGAAGACCACUUUGGGAUGCUCAUUGCCACUAUAAUAGAAAAGCAUGAGUUGAUAGUGUCAUCUAUUUGAAGCUGUCCUUAUGGGAUACAUCUGAACUCCCAGGUCUGGAGAUGGGGCCAAGGCCAGACUAGGAAAAAGAGAAGGAAUCCU
rnacentral:antisense_RNA from 1 species